UGGGGAAUAUUGGACAAUGGGCGAAAGCCUGAUCCAGCAAUGCCGCGUGUGUGAAGAAGGCCUUCGGGUUGUAAAGCACUUUUAGUGGGGAAGAAAAAGUCGAAGAUAAUAUCUUCGAAAAUUGACGUUACCCACAGAAAAAGCACUGGCUAACUCUGUGCCAGCAGCCGCGGUAAUACAGAGAGUGCGAGCGUUAAUCAGAAUUACUGGGCGUAAAGCGCAUGUAGGUGGAUAACUAAGUCGAAUGUGAAAGCCCCGGGCUUAACUUGGGAAUUGCAUCCGAUACUGGUUGUCUAGAGUAUGGUAGAGGGAAGUGGAAUUUCCGGUGUAGCGGUGAAAUGCGUAGAUAUCGGAAGGAACACCAGUGGCGAAAGCGGCUUCCUGGACUAAUACUGACACUGAGAUGCGAAAGCGUGGGGAGCAAACAGG
rnacentral:rRNA from 1 species